rnacentral:lncRNA from 1 species
AGGGCAUGCAGGUUAAUUUCUAUACUGGCAAUUUGGAAUUGUGAAAUUUGCACCAGCUUGUCUACAUGCUUCUAGUUCACCAAAUACCUCAUUGAAAAUAUUAUAGCCAAUUGAAAAUUUUCCUUUUAAUGUGUGAGUGAAAAUAUUUUAUAAAAACUUAAAAAUGAUUCAUCACUAUGGAUCGAUAGCUAGUUUUAUCAUCUCAAACCGUAGUUACUAAGUUUAAUCUUACAUGAUUAUUGAUUUUUUUUUUAAAUGCCAGCAGGAUUUGAUACAUGUCAUAUGUACAAAAUGAAAAUUUCAAAUUUGAAUAAGAGUGAUAUUUCAUCUAUACAGACAUGUUAGAAUAAUAAAAAAAAUUAUACUAAAAGUAAAGGGACAAGAAUUUAUUCUAGUUGCUAACUACUACUCCCCAAGAUCCACUUCUUGUAAGAUUUAACAACCAUGUGGACACGGUAUCUAAGGUGUAUUUAAACUUUAAAGUACACCUCAGCUAUGUUUCUUAGUACUCGGAUCCUACACAUUUACCGCCAAAAUUGAUACAUAACUUGAAAUGUUAAUUUCUAUGGUCCUUAAUUUUAAAUUAACACAUGCUGUGCACACAGAUUAAGGCAGUUAAGAAGAAAAUUGGAACUUGAGUUAGAGAAUAAAAUCUCACAAUUAUCAACUCAAUUGGAAGUCUCAGCCAAAUCCCUAGCAGCCACCUCUGAGCUAAUGAUUAGAACUAUAGCCAGGGACAUGCAAAGGAAAAGAAUUGUCUUGGGACUCAUUUUUUUGUCAAGGUAUUUUAUGUAUUGAAAACUGAUUUUGGGAAGGAUGAGAAAGCUUGACCGCUAUUUAUAGGAAAAUCUAUGCCACAUUCCCUUCAAAAGGGUCGUGGCGUUGGCCCACGAUGUAGUUGGGCGUUGAACAGAUGGCAACUGCAAUCGGCACAGAGUCCAUAUCAACGUAAUUUGCAGUCCCUUUAGUGGAUCAAAGUAAAGAAUUAGAGAUACGUACCAAAAGCAACGACUGCAUUUCUUAUGUCUUGAGACAGAGAAUUUAUGCAUUCUGAAGAGGAUAAGAUUAAUGUCCUGCACUCGCGAAUAUGUCCAAGUAUUAUAUAUCGCCAAUUUUGACUUUGAAGUGACUACGAUGGUUUAUAUUUAUUACAUGUUGAUUGAACAAGUAGCCCAAAAAAAAAAUUCUUGCCCAAAAAAAAAAAAGUAGAUUAAACGAGUCAAACAUUUUUUGAGACAGAAAAGAAACGAAGAAGAACAUGCCAAACUUUGGAAUAGGUUCAAAGAAGAAUGGUGGGCUGUAUUAUUAUGUUACAUUUUGCAUUACAAAAGAACAUGUCAAGGAACCUAAUUGCAGCACGCACAAAUUGUUUUCAGUCAAUUGGUCUAUGCAACAACAAUCAAACACAGAGAAGAAAUGAAGAGGGGUUGUUAGUGGGGGGGAAGAGCAAAUAGGGAGGAAUUGGAAGUGGUACGCCUAGAGCCCUAGACAAGGGUGGAGAAAGGGAGGAGGUGGAUUGGCUAUGGAGGAAGAAACCAUAGGGGGCUUUGCUAGUGGGAGGGUAAGGGAGGAAGAGAGGAGUGGGAAGAUUAAAUAGUGGCGGAGAAAGGUCGAACAGAUGUCAGCCGUAUAAAUGUAAAUAGGGUUGUAUCUUGAGCGAUUGAUUUGAUUUAUUUCUUUCCAAAAACAAAGAAUUAAAUGAGGAUACACCAUAUGCACUUAGUCUAGUCACUCUUGUGCAGUAAGUGAUUAAUACAUCAAAAGUAAAACGGAAUGAAUUUGGCAAGCAAGCCCAUCAAAUUAAGGAAUGUGAACUCAAUAGUCAAUAGUGAUAAGAUGGUUUUUCUUCCCGGACACGUUUCAGUCAUUAUACCAACUUGCAGAAUUUAAUGGUUGACCUACGUUGCCUAUAAGGCGGAAAUUUAUAGUAAUUCAUAUCGUCUCAUUGUCUCGUGCCGGUAGUAAUUAAGGAAGAAGGAAUCAGUGUCGUAAAAAGCAGCGAAUCGGUGGGUCACUCCAUGUCUAAUGUAACGAAUCAAUUGGUCUAGCAAAAGUUGAAUUUGUAUGUGCCGACUGAUAAGUGAUACUUGUUUUUACUCUUUAAAGAAUCCAUAAAAUUUUCCCGACGAAUAUUUCCAGGCACACCUAUUUUGGUUUUGCGGUGUUUUUCUUUUAGGGAUAAUUUCAGAAACCUCCCUUGAGAUUUAUAACAAUUUCAUUUAGCUCCCUGAACUUUUAAAAAUUACACAUACCUCCCUUAUCAUUUAAGAUGAUAAUACUACCCUUAAAUAUUUUACUGAAAUUCCCUUAUUUGGUAUUUCUUAUAUUUAGAAAGACUUUCAAAAUUAUUUUUUCAUUAUUUUUUCUUCUUGUUCAUUUUUUUUUAUUUUUUGCCAAUAAAAUUAUAGAACUACUACUAUUCCCUCUAGUUUCUAUUGUAACCAAUUGUCGAACUAGUGAUUUUUUUUAUGAGUUAAAUUAUAUGUAAUCCAAUGUUUUUACUGCUUUUUUCUAUUUUUUGGUAUUAAAAUUAACAAUAAAUAAAAAAGAAAUAGCCCAAAAUCACUACUAAAUUAUGAUAAUCUCACUAUUCAAAAAAUUCAUAAACUCCCACUACUAAAUUAUGAUAAUCUCUAAAUGGAUUAUUUCAACAUUUUUUUUCUAUCUUAUAAAUCUAAAUCCAUAAUAAAAUACCAUCAAAAGUAUCCUAUCAUAGUGAUAAAAUUAUUGUUAGAAUAAAUCUUAUAUACACUGAAAGUGUAUACACUAUCACAAUUGGAUGUGCGACACCGUUUUUCCGUUAACAGCCUAGCACGCGGACGUUUCAUUACGUUGGCUAGGAAAUGGCCUAGAAAUGACUCCCCGUUGGUCCUAGCCGCACAUGCAUGAAAUUCUACCGAUGACAUGAGGAAACGCACGACGGUCAUUCUCGAGGCUAGUCGGUGAGCCUUAGGCUGCAUGACGGCCGUUCAUCCCCGUGACGGCACCGCGUGCGGCCAAGUGGCCCGGAAGUGGCUGUUCUUCCAUUAACAGUGAAGCACGCCACCGUACACUUGCGCUGGCACGGAAACGGUCUCGCCAUGGGCGAGAUGUUCCACCGACGACAAGAAGAAAUGCACGACAGCCGUUCUUCCUUUAACGGCCUAGCACGCAGACGUUUCAUUGCGUUGGCUAGGAAACGGCCUAGAAAUGACUCCCCGUUGGUCCUAGCCGCACGUGCAUGAAAUUCCACCAAUGACGUGAAGAAACGCACGACGGUCGUUCUCGAGACUAGGCGGUGAGCCUUAGGCCGCAAGACGGUCGUUCAUCCCCGUGACGGCACCGCGUGCGGCCAAGUGGCCCGGAAGUGGCCGUUCUUCCAUUACAUAUGCAAAAUUUAGAUUUCAAAUUCAAGUUCAAAUUAUGUGUCGUGCAUCUAAUGGUGAAAAUGUAUAUGCUGUCAUUGUAUAGAAAAUUAAUUCUUAUUAUUAUAGUUGUUUAUCAAUAGUAGGUAUGGACAUGAAAAUUUUGGCACAUAUUUCUUAUAAUUAUACUAGAUAAUCUUAUAAUUGUAUAGGAAAAUAAAUUAAAACUCAUUACACAAGGGCAUUUUUGGGUAUUCAUUUAAAAAUUUGACCAAAUCAAUAUUAUUUAAAUGUUUUGUUACUAAAACUAUCAAAUCAAGGGGGUAGAUGUAAUUUUUCAAACCUUAGAGAAGCUCAGUGAGAUUGUCAAAAACCUCAGGGGAGGUAUAUGAAAUUAUCCCUUUCUUUCAACCAAAACAAAUGUAGUUCACAAAAUUUAUGAUUUUAGGUAGAUUUAGAUCAACUAAUGAAAAAUUACAAUAUCUAACUAUUAAAAUUAAAUUGGAAUUAUGUUGAAUAAUAAUACAUGGAUAAUAUAUUUAAGAAACUAGUAGGAAGAAAAGAAUCCUAAUUUUAGUAUAUUAUAACUUUAUUCUAGCACUAUUAUAUAACUUGUCGUGUGGUUUGUGGAGGUAGGAUUUGAAUGGUUAUGGUUAACAGUUGUGAUUACAUUAAUUAGCAAAGGUAAUUAUCAAAUGAAGUACGCGUAUGAUUUUUUGAAUAGACUUCAUUCUAAAUCAUAUACUUCAAUAAUAAGAUUUUAAUCUAUCUAUAUGAGUUCGUCUAUAUUCAUAAUUUUUAAUGAAGAAUUUGAAAAAUUAUAUAAAAUACCAAUUCAUUUGAAAGUUAAUUGAUAACAAAUUGAAAUGCCAAAAAAAAUGAAAAGAAAAAAUUGUUUUUUCAAUCAACUUUGUCUUGAACCCUCGCACCUCUCUCGACACUUUUCGCACUCUCAAUUGUUAAGCACAAGAAUUGAAUCCUGAACGUGACAGCGAAAAAGACUCUAAAAGCCCUUCUCCGGCCAUUAGAAUUUUUUGAUCAAUUUCAUUUUACAUAUAAUUGUUUACAUUUCAGAGAAAAUUUAAAUUGAGUGCUUAAUUAUCUAUAUGGGUAAAAAAAUAAUAAAACCCACUGUCAAUUAAUUAUUGAUUUAAUUAGAUAUAUUUUGUCAAAUCUUAGACCAACUAUCCAAAAGAAAAUAUACAUGUUAAAAAUUUGUAGUAUGAUCAAAUGAAAUAUAGAAACAAAAAAGAAGAAGAAAAAGUUUAUUUAGCUUUUCAUAUUUUUUUAUAAUUAGUUUUCUAGUACAUAAAACACAAUUUCAACUCAAUUCAUGUCUAGUAUCAUUUCAAACCCUCAAAAUCACUAUUUGAAACUUAAAGGGCUAUAAUGAUUUGAAUUCUAAACUUUAAGGAUUAAAAAUGCAAAGUCAAAAUAAUUGAAAAAUAGAAAUUUGAUUUUGACCAUUAGGAAUGGUUAAAUUUCUAUCAAUUAUCCUAAAUUUGCUUAAAAUUAGAAACUUUGAAGACCAUAUUUGUUUUGAUUCAAACAUUAGGACCAAUUUGACAUACAAACCAAAUGUUGGGAAUCAAAAUUGCAUUUCUCCCUUUUUAAAGAAUGGUGAAAAGAGUGAUGCGGCAUUAUUACUGGCCAUUUUGCCUAAUACCAUAUUUUAAAUAUUAAUAUUACUACAAAUUUACAAUUUGACACAAGAAAUUUAUAUCUUUUUUUUAUUGCUUUAGGCUUAUUUUGCAUGAAAUCAUGUAUAUUUGGCACUAGACAAUAAUUUUCAUCAAAGAGUUAUUAUUCUCACAACCACUAAUGACGAGAAAAAAAAGGCACCAUCACAGUUUUUUGGGUUAAUAUUGUUAGGAAUAUCAAAUAUAUCAUCAAUGGCGUCUUCAAGUCUAUUGCUAACCAGUGCAAUCCCUCCUAUUUAUUUUUAAUACUUUAGAGUAAUGAGUGUGAAAAUCAAUUUAAGUAGAUCGGAAUUCUGAUUUUCCAAUAAGUUAACCAGGGGGAAGCCCAUGCUAAGCACGGGAGUUUUAACCUAUGUGAUAAAAUAUUUAUUCAAAUAAAUUUAUAAAAAAGUUAGUAGAAUUAGAAUUGUCUGGUAAUUGGUUUAAUUGAAUCAAUUGAAGUGCAUGAAAUUAUAAGUAAAUUGGCCAAAUCAACAAAUUUAUAAAGGAAAAUAAAUUUAUAAGUAAAAGAAAUAGGAUUGUAGUAAAUAAUCACACUAUAUCACAACAACAAUAGCAAAAACAUCAUUACCUUUGUUACUAGACCAUUAUAACACAAUCAUAGCCAUAUCCAAUCAACAACAACAUGUAUCAACUAUAAUGUCAGAUUUAGAUCCUACCUUGGUCAUGAAAUUGCAGUCAAUGGAUAAUCUUUAGUCGUAGUUUAACCACCUACAGCCACAAACAUCAGUUUUUGGAAAUAUAGUUAGAAAAUGUAAGAAGGUUCCUACGAAUAUUCAUAUGCAUGUAUCAUGUAUUCCAUAACAAAAUUUCCAUAUUCAUACAAUAGCUAUUGAGAAACUAUUGCAGUAGAAAACUCAUAAAUUUUAUUGUAUUAGUUAAACAUCCAAAACUCGAGAAAAAGAGAAAGUAAAUGAGCAUUCCUGUCCAAACACCCACAACAAAAGAUUGAGCACAAACACUUGAACCAACAUUCUUUAGUAUUAAAAGCCUCCAUUAUUGCCAAGCUGAAGAACACUACAAUUAUACUUGUAACGGAUUGGAAAUAUGAACCAAAACCAAUCAUGCUCAUUAUUAAGUGCUUCCUGAACCAAUCAUCUUUACCAUUAAGACACUCUAUUAUUGUAGCUAUAAAAGUUACCCAGCAAUUAUAAAAGAAGAUGAAAAGCAUUGCAAUUACAUUUGUAAGUGGUUUAAACACCACUUAAAAGCUUGAUAAUCACGUGGAAUGUAAUGUAUGCAGAGAAAUCGUCGUUCCGCCUUAGUGAGUUGGAGCCCUAAUUCCGUUCCCAGAUACUCCGUCCAGGUUAUUGUUACUUUUGAGUUCUAACGCCAGGAUCCAUGAGUACCUUCCAUAAGUUGGUAGCUGUGGGUGUUGGUGCUGCGUUAAGUGUUGUCACUGUAAUAACAGCUGCGUCUCUAAGACGCCAUCUGGACAGGAUGGAUGAUGAGGUGAUUUGGGAAAAGUACCAAAGCGCAGUCAGAAAAAGCCGCGAGGAAAAUACUCGCUGACCGUCGUCUCCACCAAAAUGGCUCACACUUUUGCGUCCUUUUAGCCAUUAGAUGUUAGAAAUCUCCAUGUUUUUUUAUGGGCUGUCGUUCUGCUGUCGUUCUGCUGUCGUAUUUAAUGUUAAGCAGCUAGUACCUAUGUAGUCACCACGAAGUUCCGAGGAGAAUGGUUUUGCUUUAUUAGUCUCGGAUUGUGGUUGUUUUUGUAUCUCGUCUUAUAAGUAAAGCUGUUCUUCGUACAAUUUUCCUAAAAAAAAAAAAAAAAAAAAAAAAAAAAAAAAAAAAUCA